rnacentral:lncRNA from 1 species
UCGGAUUCGGGCACGCCGACAGACCGCCGAACGGAUAGAAUUUUUCCUGUACGUCCUAGGCGUCGCAAUCAAUACAAUUCACGAUGUUCCAACCAUGAACAGAAAUCAAGCAUAGAUUGCAUAAGGAAGUAUAAAAAACAUAAACAACUAAGUUAUUACAAGCAUUCACCAGCUUAUAUUUUUACAUCACAGUUUCUUUUACAUUCAACUUCCAAAUUACAAUCUAGUUAUUACAAAUUUAUUACAAGUUUGAUACAUUCUUGUUCUUUCCUUUCCCUAUACCUCUAGGCUAUGCCGACACGGGGUACUGCUAUCCCUGGUCUCUGGGGUAGGGCGCUACCUACGGAGCUACGCUCUUUCCUCGUGCCGCCGUGCCGCUCACGUGCGAACCUGUAACUAAAGAUGUCCGUGGACCGGGUUGGGUCUGGGUAAUUAAUAUACUGUACCCAUACCCUAAAAAGAAAUGGUUAUAAAAAAAUAUAUAUACCCUACCCAUUUAACUUCGGGUCGGGUCCGGAUCUGGGUACUAAAGUUACUAAUAUACCCAUCGGGUCUAUUUGAGCGGGUCUGGGUAGUGACUACCCGUAUACUACCCGUUCAAAACCGGAUAUGGAUCGGGUCUAAAUCGGGUACGGAUAUCCGUAUAAAUAUAUUUUUUUAUAAAUUUUAUUAAAUAGUCAAUAAACAAACUAUAUUGUUGACAAUGAAAUAUUGUUGGCGGAAAUGAAAUGAAAAAAAAAGAGUAGAAAACAAAGAGUAAAAAAAUUAGAAAAAAGUAAUGAGCAAAAGAGACGGCUAGGGUUUCGUUAGGAUGAAAAUACAUAGUGACUCAUCAUCUAUAAGUCAUAUUAAAAUUGAUCUUUCAACUUCAAAAGUUUAUUUUUUUUUAUUUACUAUCGGAUAUUUCAUCGGGUCCGGAUCCGGGUCCGGAUUUGAAAACUAUUUCGGACCCUACUCAUUUAAAAGUUAGGUUAGGACGGAUCCAAAUCGGGUAUAGAUAUAAAAUAUCCAGAUCCAUACCCGAAAUUUUAAUGGGUAAUUUUUUUUAUCCGUAUACUAUUCAUUUUUUAUCGGGUCCGUUUCGGGUCCGGUUCGGAUCCGGAUAGGGUCCGGAUCGGGUAUGGGAUAUCGGAUAUUUUGGA